rnacentral:rRNA from 1 species
GAGUUUGAUCGUGGCUCAGGAUGAACGCUGGCGGCGUGCUUAACACAUGCAAGUCGAACGAAGCACUUUACCACGAUUCCUUCGGGAUGACGGUUUAGUGACUGAGUGGCGGACGGGUGAGUAACGCGUGGGGAACCUGCCCCAUACCGGGGGUAACAGCCGGAAACGGCUGCUAAUACCGCAUAAGCGCACAGUACCGCAUGGUACGGUGUGAAAAACUCCGGUGGUAUGGGAUGGACCCGCGUCUGAUUAGCCAGUUGGCGGGGUAACGGCCACCAAAGCGACGAUCAGUAGCCGGCCUGAGAGGGCGACCGGCCACAUUGGGACUGAGACACGGCCCAGACUCCUACGGGAGGCAGCAGUGGGGGAAUAUUGCACAAUGGGGGAAACCCUGAUGCAGCAACGCCGCGUGAGUGAGGAAGUAUUUCGGUAUGUAAAGCUCUAUCAGCAGGGGAAGAAGAAAUGACGGUACCUGACUAAGAAGCCCCGGCUAACUACGUG